UGCAAUGGAAAAGACAGAGUGUCAGGCAAACCUUUAUACCUUUGUCUGCAUCUUCAUUGUCCUCUGCUAUCAGCAGCCUGGGCUGGUGAUGUGAAUAAAAUGCCAAAGGCACGAAACAGAUACAGCUUAAGGGCUGUGAGAAUCCUCCACAGGAGAGGAGAUCCUGAGCUGCCUUCCUGCUUUGAGGUGGCCAGGAGAGGUGAGGGGGAUCUGGCAGGAGGAAAAUGUCCCUUCACAAGUAGGGAAGGAGAGGGUGGAGGUCUGAAAUCAGUGAGCACCACAGGAAGCGUGACAGUUGAUAAGCAAUGAGUGGAUGCAUCAACUGAUGAAGGAUGCAUAUGCUGGAUGCUGCA